CCUACGGGGGGCAGCAGUAGGGAAUGUUCGGCAAUGGGGGGAACCCUGACCGAGCAACGCCGCGUGAACGAAGAAGUUAUUCGUAAUGUAAAGUUCUUUUAACAGGGAAGAAAGAGAAAUUUGACGGUACCUGAAGAAUAAGCUCCGGCUAACUACGUGCCAGCAGCCGCGGUAAUACGUAGGGAGCGAGCGUUAUCCGGAAUUAUUGGGCGAAAAGGGUGCGUAGAUGGCAUAGUAAGUCUUUUGUAAAAAUGCUGGGCUCAACCCAGUAGGGCAAAAGAUACUGCAAAGCUAGAGUAUGACAGAGGCAAGUGGAACUACAUGUGUAGCGGUAAAAUGCGUAAAUAUAUGUAAGAACACCAGUGGCGAAGGCGGCUUGCUGGGUCGAUACUGACAUUGAGGCACGAAAGUGUGGGUAUCAAACAGGAUCAGAUACCCGAGUAGUC
rnacentral:rRNA from 1 species